GAAGGAUUAAGCUUCAUGUUAUAAUUAUCAAGGAUAUCAAAUGCUUCCUCCAAGUCCCUUAGGUGAUCCUCAGCUUUCUUUGACUUUACUACCAUAUCAUCUAUGUACACUUCCAUAGUCUGUCCAAUUUGAUCUUUGAACAUCAUAUUCACAAGCCUUUGAUAUGUUGCACCUGCAUUUCUUAAUCCAAAAGGCAUGGCAAUAUAACAAUAUAAACCGGUUGGGGUCAUAAAGGCUGUAUCCUCUUGGUCAGAUGGUUCCAUCUGAAUUUGUUGGAAUCCAGAUGAUGCAUCCAUAAAGGUUAACAGUUCAUGCCCCGCUGUUGCAUCCACCAUGGAGUCAAUGUGGGGUAAUGGGAAAGGAUCCUUGGGACAUGCCUUAUUCAAAUCAGUGAAAUCGACACAUACCCUCCACUUUCCGUUUUUCUUUUGGACAACAACCACAUUGGCUAACCAUUUUGGAUACUUUACCUCUCUGAUCAUACCUGCUCGAAGUAGUCUCUCUACUUCUUCUUGGAUAAUGGCAUUCCUUUCUGGUGCAAACUUCCUCCUUUUUUGAUGGAUUGGUUUGAUAGACCUGUCAAUGCCAAGUUUGUGAGUAAUAAUAUCCUUAGAUAUACCUGUCAUAUCUUCAUGUUUCCAAGCAAAGGUAGAUUUUCUUCUUUUGAGGAAGGAUAUCAUGUCUUCUUUCAUCUUGCCAAGGAUCCCUGAUCCAAUAUAGAUUUUUGAUUCAGGAUCACUAGGAUCCAAGAGGAUUUCGUCCACAUCUUGUUCCCUUGCCUCCAAGACAUUCCUCGGAGGAUACUGUAAUUGCUAUUGCUCCCUUGGCUUCGAGGUUGGCUUCAUGGAUGAGGUAUAACAAUCCUUAGCCUCCUGCUGAUCACUGUCGAUCUUGAUUAUCCCCCAUGGGCUAGGGAGCUUCACACAUUGAUGGUAGGUAGAUGGAACUGCUUUCAUGUCAUGUAUCCAAGGCCUGCCAAGGAUAACGUUGCAACAAGACAAACAGUCAAUAACACAAAAUUUUUGGUAAUUAUG
rnacentral:lncRNA from 1 species